rnacentral:rRNA from 1 species
UAUAGAUGGAUCCGCGCUGCAUUAGCUAGUUGGUAAGGUAACGGCUUACCAAGGCAACGAUGCAUAGCCGACCUGAGAGGGUGAUCGGCCACACUGGAACUGAGACACGGUCCAGACUCCUACGGGAGGCAGCAGUAGGGAAUCUUCCGCAAUGGGCGAAAGCCUGACGGAGCAACGCCGCGUGAGUGAUGAAGGUCUUCGGAUCGUAAAACUCUGUUAUUAGGGAAGAACAUAUGUGUAAGUAACUGUGCACAUCUUGACGGUACCUAAUCAGAAAGCCACGGCUAACUACGUGCCAGCAGCCGCGGUAAUACGUAGGUGGCAAGCGUUAUCCGGAAUUAUUGGGCGUAAAGCGCGCGUAGGCGGUUUUUUAAGUCUGAUGUGAAAGCCCACGGCUCAACCGUGGAGGGUCAUUGGAAACUGGAAAACUUGAGUGCAGAAGAGGAAAGUGGAAUUCCAUGUGUAGCGGUGAAAUGCGCAGAGAUAUGGAGGAACACCAGUGGCGAAGGCGACUUUC